rnacentral:rRNA from 1 species
CACUCCUGCGGGAGGCAGCAGUGGGGAAUAUUGGACAAUGGGCGCAAGCCUGAUCCAGCCAUGCCGCGUGAGUGAUGAAGGCCCUAGGGUUGUAAAGCUCUUUCACCGGUGAAGAUAAUGACGGUAACCGGAGAAGAAGCCCCGGCUAACUUCGUGCCAGCAGCCGCGGUAAUACGAAGGGGGCUAGCGUUGUUCGGAUUUACUGGGCGUAAAGCGCACGUAGGCGGACUAUUAAGUCAGGGGUGAAAUCCCGGGGCUCAACCCCGGAACUGCCUUUGAUACUGGUAGUCUUGAGUUCGGGAGAGGUGAGUGGAAUUCCGAGUGUAGAGGUGAAAUUCGUAGAUAUUCGGAGGAACACCAGUGGCGAAGGCGGCUCACUGGCUCGAUACUGACGCUGAGGUGCGAAAGCGUGGGGAGCAAACAGGAUUAGAAACCCGGGUAGUCCCAUGAU